AUUGAACGCUGGCGGCAGGCUUAACACAUGCAAGUCGAGCGAGCGGCGGACGGGUGAGUAAUGUAUGGGGAUCUGCCCGAUAGAGGGGGAUAACUACUGGAAACGGUGGCUAAUACCGCAUACUAUCGGAUGAACCCAUAUGGGAUUAGCUAGUAGGUGGGGUAAAGGCUCACCUAGGCGACGAUCUCUAGCUGGUCUGAGAGGAUGAUCCGACCCACUAGGAGUGGUACACGGCCCAGACUCCUACGGGAGGCAGCAGUGGGGAAUAUUGCACAAUGGGCGCAAGCCUGAUGCAGCCAUGCCGCGUGUAUGAAGAAGGCCUUAGGGUUGUAAAGUACUUUCAGCGGGGAGGCGUUACCCGCAGAAGAAGCACCGGCUAACUCCGUGCCAGCAGCCGCGGUAAUAC
rnacentral:rRNA from 1 species